rnacentral:rRNA from 1 species
GAGUUUGAUCGUGGCUCAGGAUGAACGCUAGCGGCAGGCUUAAUACAUGCAAGUCGUGGGGCAGCAUAGGGUAGCAAUACUCUGAUGGCGACCGGCAAACGGGUGCGGAACACGUACGCAACCUUCCUUUAACUGGAGAAUAGCCCCUCGAAAGAGGGAUUAAUACUCCGUAACAUGUUGAUAAGGCAUCUUAUUAAUAUUAUAGCUCCGGCGGUUAAAGAUGGGCGUGCGCCUGAUUAGGUAGUUGGCGGGGUAACGGCCCACCAAGCCUUCGAUCAGUAACUGGUGUGAGAGCACGACCAGUCACACGGGCACUGAGACACGGGCCCGACUCCUACGGGAGGCAGCAGUAAGGAAUAUUGGUCAAUGGACGCAAGUCUGAACCAGCCAUGCCGCGUGGAGGAUUAAGGCCCUCUGGGUUGUAAACUCCUUUAUCUGGGAAGAAUCCAUAUAUUCUUAUGUGGUUGACGGUACCAGAGGAAUAAGCACCGGCUAACUCCGUGCCAGCCGCCGCCGU